CAGUAGUCUCUGCAAAUUAUCUAAAAUGGUUACAGUACCUGCAUUGGAAAUUCAGUCAUGCCUAUGUAGGGAUGAGAAGAGGAGAGCCGAUUUCCACGCUGGUCUCUUCCAUAAAAGGAAAGAGCUGCUGCAUAAGCCACUUUAAUAGCAGAGGAAGCUGCAAAUUGAUUUUUUGACAGGAUUGCUGGAGAGAAUGAUUAGGAGUGGGUGGAACUGACUGAGCAAAAUGAGAAAUGAAAGAGAACAACCAAGGGAUUUCCUAAAGCUCCACCUAAUGUUUGGCUGUGGCUCUCUGUACCUGUUUCCAGCUGUUGCUGGGUGAAGCCUCCCUGAUGAUGAUUAUGCUAGGCUUCUGUCUGGGCUGCUGUUCUGAGUGCUGCCUUGCUUCUGGGGAAAAUAGAAGGUUACAGGAGAACUUCUGGGAUGUUAUCACAUUAAGUAACUCCAAGCUGUUCUUCAGCCAAGAAUUACAAACGAUUACUGAAGACUCAUUGGGCUGACAUUGGCAAAAAGGACUAGGUACGUCAAAAAGCAUCUCAACCAGACCUGUUAAAGUUUGCCUUUUGGUGAUGAUAAUGCUCUCUGUAGCUCAGGCUAAUCCCUCAGAUGCAGUUUCAGACUAGGGAAACAGUGUUUGGCAUAGGGCAGGCUUCUCAUCUCCACAUUCUCUGAUGACCGUCCUCCUGACAGAAGCUCCCAGCCUCUGCCUUUUCUUACUCUCCAGAUCCAAACAAUGGAAUACUACAAUCAGACAGCACAAAAGUACCACACAAGUUUUUCCUACUACAUUUUGGGUUAUUUCACUGAAAGUUAUUUGUUGUCCCACUGUGCUCACAUGACAAUAAAAACAACUUUUGCUAUAUUUAUUUUAUGGUGAUUGUGUGAAAUGACUAUAUUUUGAAAAAUCUUUGGCAUUAAAAUACAUUCACAAUGAAGAAUUAUCAAAAUGAAUGGACUGUCUGUCCAGAGUGUUUGAACUGUGGGAAACUGGAACAGUAAGUUAUACUUAUUUGUGGAGGUAUGUGGUUUCUAAUCUGAAAUCUGUUUCAGUUUGUUCCACACGAGAGGCCAUGGAAAAUACCAUCUCAAUAAAGCUUAUGCUUUCAAAAGCACUGCAAGUUGAAACUUUUGAUUUAUUUAUUAUUUUUAUUACUGGCUUUUUCUUUCUACCAAAGGUCAAAUGGCAUGGGGAAUAUGCCUAGUUAAAAAUAUUUAUUGAUUGAUUGUCAAAUGAAAAAGUUCUGAAAAUAUCUACAACC